CAUGAUUAGCAUGUUGCUAGCAUGUCUCUAGCAUGACUAGCAUGCGACUAGCAUGUUGCUAGCAUGAUUUUAGCAUGAUUAGCAUGCGACUAGCAUGUUGCUAGCAUGAUUUUAGCAUGAUUAGCAUGUUGCUAGCAUGAUUUUAGCAUGAUUAGCAUGCGACUAGCAUGUUGCUAGCAUGAUUUUAGCAUGAUUAGCAUGCGACUAGCAUGUUGCUAGCAUGAUUUUAGCAUGAUUAGCAUGCGACUAACAUGUUGCUAGCAUGAUUUUAGCAUGAUUAGCAUGUUGCUAGCAUGAUUUUAGCAUGAUUAGCAUGCGACUAGCAUGUUGUUAGCAUGAUUUUUAGCAUGAUUAGCAUGUUGCUAGCAUGUCUCUAGCAUGAUUAGCAUGCGACUAGCAAGUUGCUAGCAUGAUUUUAGCAUGAUUAGCAUGUUGCUAGCAUGAUUUUAGCAUGAUUAGCAUGCGACUAGCAUGUUCCUAGCAUGAUUUUAGCAUGAUUAGCAUGUUGCUAGCAUGAUUUUAGCAUGAUUAGCAUGUUGCUAGCAUGAUUUUAGCAUGAUUAGCAGGCAACUAGCAUGUUGCUAGCAUGAUUUUAGCAUGAUUAGCAUGUUGCUAGCAUGAUUUUAGCAUGAUUAGCAUGCGACUAGCAUGUUGCUAGCAUGAUUUUAGCAUGAUUAGCAUGUUGCUAGCAUGAUUUUAGCAUGAUUAGCAU